UUAGAAUAGCCCGCAUCCAGCAUUCCAGUGGAUGUAUAUCAUGGUGUAUACGUAGCAUACUAAGUAGCAGUGAAGAAAAAGCUCUAUCUAUUCCCAAUCUAUCUAUCUUGCAGCUUUUAUUUCUAGAUUCUUAUGAAGAACUUUAGAUUUGAAAAAAGCUAUAAAACAUAUGAAAAGGUCUAUGGUUACAAAUUAAAAUAUUUAAUUAAAAAAUAUUCUUAGAAUAUUCUUGAACACUGUAAUUUGAAGAUGCUAAUAAAAGUUACAUUUACAAAUGAGGUUUUGUGCAAUAGAUUAUUAUCAUUGCUCAAAAUGUGAGUGCAUGGAAUAUGGAAAAUGAAUAUAGAAAAUAUGUAUAUCAAUUAGCCCAAAAAUACUAACUUAUAUACAAGAGCGAGUGGUCCAUAUUAAAAGCAAUCAGAUGGCUACCAAAAUCCCACUAUACUAAUAUUAGUAUAUGGUAUUGUAAUUGUA
rnacentral:lncRNA from 1 species